GAGUUUGUGGAUGUUUAAAGAGAUGUCCUUUGCAAGAACAUGAAGUGAAUGAUUUGACACUAUUCUCUACCACUCUUCAGGACUCCUGUACUCUCUGUGAAAUUGCAUAGUGAGUUUAAUAACGCUUUCUUCAAUUUUUAAUUUGUCCUACAGAGAAAGUUCAGCCACAAAGUCUGAAGAAGAACUGCACUUCUGGGUCAUGUUUGGAAAUUCCACACAGUAUUAAAACCAGAUCUAGUCAGUCAACAACAACAACAAAGAAGGAAGAAUGUUGGAUUUUUUUUUUUUUGACCACGUAUCACUUUUUGAAUAUCCCCCUUGUGCCAGUCAUUAUGGCAAGAAAUUUAUAUUCAGAUAAACCCCAAGGAAAGUAAAAUGUUGACAAUCAAAUUGAAGAAUGAUCUAAUAUGGAUCAAAUAUCUUGUAUGUAGUAUCAUUCUACUGUCACUUUCUGCUAUCCACAGCUAAAGUUUAAUCUUUUUUUUCUUUUUGAUAAUUUUUGCUGGAAUGAUGGGUGGAGGUUAUAUAAUUGAAGCAAUCUGCAUGUACUAAAUGUAUUUGAUUGUUGUAAAUGUAAGAACCAAAUUUUAUACUACCCCAUAAGCUUUGAUGGUAAAAAUUCAGACCUUGGAAGUCUAUUUUAUAUUUCAUAAUCAUCAGAAAUAGUUUAUAUAUAUUAAAAAUGCAGCACAAUUUCUGAUACAUAUAUCUAGAAGACAAAAAUACAGAUAGGAUUUUGUCAAUUGAAUAAAUUUAGGAAUAUAUUAAGCAAAUUGAGGACUAAUAACUUCCCUUUUUAGAUAUUUUGAUUCUAAGAGAAACAACGUUUAAAAAUAAACACACAGUAGGUAGAUAACCAAGCAAACUAGAAAAUAAACAAUGAGUUAAACUAUAAACUGACAAGAUUACCUGCUCUCCCAGCUCCCUAGUGAGAUAUGAGUGCAGUUGUAAUUAAAAAGGGAGAUAUUGCUAAAAUUUCAAGUUUUGAUACCUGGUGAUUUUAUUUAGUAAUAUACACAAAGUAUUUUGGUUUUAGAUUCUAAAACAUCAGAGAGUAAUUCACAAUUGCUUUUGUUAGCAUAUUGCAAUUCUAGUGUUUUUCUUGUUCUCUCUUCCACUCCUACCGAUCCCCAGGGAAUAACAUAUUAUAAUUGGUUCCAAUGAGUCUCCUCUUUUGUUUUAUUUAUUCACUUAUUUUCUUUUAUGCAUAUACUACAUUUUCUUUCUUUCCCCAUUCAGUC
rnacentral:lncRNA from 1 species